UUUAGACCGUGUGAAACUGCAGUU
rnacentral:misc_RNA from 1 species